GACGAACGCUGGCGGCGUGCUUAACACAUGCAAGUCGAACGGAAAGGCCUCUUUCGGGGGGUACUCGAGUGGCGAACGGGUGAGUAACACGUGAGUAACCUGCCCUUGACUUUGGGAUAACUUCAGGAAACUGGGGCUAAUACCGGAUAGGUGCUCCUGCUGCAUGGUGGGGGUUGGAAAGUUUCGGCGGUUGGGGAUGGACUCGCGGCUUAUCAGCUUGUUGGUGGGGUAGUGGCUUACCAAGGCUUUGACGGGUAGCCGGCCUGAGGGGGUGACCGGCCACAUUGGGACUGGGAUACGGCCCAGACUCCUACGGGAGGCAGCAGGGGGGAAUAUUGCACAAUUGGUGGGAGCCUGAUGCAGCAACGCCGUGUGCGGGAUGACGGCCUUCGGGUUGUAAACCGCUUUCGCUCAUGACGAAGCUUUGUGUGACGGUAGUGGGUAAAGAAGCACCGGCUAACUACGUG
rnacentral:rRNA from 1 species